rnacentral:rRNA from 1 species
UACGGAGGGUGCAAGCGUUGUCCGGAUUUAUUGGGUUUAAAGGGUGCGUAGGCGGAUGCAUAAGUCAGUGGUGAAAGGCCGCAGCUCAACUGUGGGAGUGCCAUUGAUACUGUGCGUCUUGAGUGAAGGCGAGGUAGGCGGAAUUGAUGGUGUAGCGGUGAAAUGCAUAGAUAUCAUCAAGAACACCGAUAGCGAAGGCAGCUUACUGGUCUUCAACUGACGCUGAUGCACGAAAGCGUGGGUAGCGAACAGG